GGAACAAGGGGUGCCGCUUGGCGGCUGAGAGCGGGCGUUUGCUCGCAACCCUGUGACCUGAUCCGGAUAAUGCCGGCGGAGGGAUGUUUGC
rnacentral:ncRNA from 1 species